ACUUGGGUCUGGGCAUUGAAACCUUUAUUAAUACAAAGUGGUUGUUUUUUUUUCUUUUCUUCUCCGCAAUCAUUUUAUGCUAGUGGCUCAAGUUGGCGAGAGAUUAUUUGACACUAUGGUUCGGCCUCCUCUUCCUGAUGUUGCAGUAGCCAUUCUAUGAAGCCUAAGAAGUGUCCCUGACGCGCUUCUCUCAUCUGAAGUCAAUCCAGCCAAUCACGACAGCUUGCUGCUUCUGUCCUCUGCAAAGUUCCCACACCCGUGCGUUUCUUUCACCCCCCCCCCCCACCACGAUCCUGUUCUGCCUUCCUCAUCCAUCACCUGGAUGAGUUUUGUUGUAAAAUAAAAGUCUAAUCUGUCUCCCUGU